GACAAUUUAAUUCCUUGCGAAAAUCAUGCUGCUGCUGACCCUGAUCUUACUGCAAAACAUUGUACCUAACCAGAAUGGGGAGCAGAACAGAGUCAACUUUUGCGGAAACAGAUAAUCUAUAAGACCAAUCUAUUUGUCACCUUCAUGUUUUGAGUACUAAGAACAUACAAUGGGCAGUAACCCCUGUGGAACAGUUUUCAAGACAGAAACGAUAAAGUAGAGUUACAUAAAGGUUAGUGCUGUAAAAUAAGAUCUCUUUUUAUUUUGUCUUUAUCUUUUUAAAAUUUUGUCCUUAUCUUUAGAGACUUUGAAAUGUGUGAAUGUUACUUACUAAAAUUCAUCCGAUCGUAUCUGAGCAUAUAGCUGGGUGACCUCCAUAUGAAGUCAUUUUUAAAUGGUUAUUGAUUAACUAAUCUGAAAAGAUUAGUUUAAUUUAAUUAAAAAAUGCAUUAUAGCUACUAAAUAUGCAUAUUUGUUAAAAGUAUAUUUUUGACUAUGAAAAAAUUCCACUUCAGUAUAGUACACACAU
rnacentral:lncRNA from 13 species